AUUAGCUUUGUGGAGGUAUCAGAAUGCUCUAUAAAAAGAUACUAGAUUCAAGAAACACAAGGAAGGGAAAAGAGAAAUCUAUUGUACAUAAGUAAGAAGUAAUGGGAUGCAGUAUGCACAGUGGAUAUUAAUAAAAAAAAAAAGUAAAGUUUACCUUUCAGACCUUGCGAUCUAUGGAGCUAAUGAUGUCAAGGUUAUGUUUCUAUGGCUAGUGGUUAAUGAGCAGGUCGUCAUGUGUCCAGCACAAUGACUAACCACCUUAAUUUUCCCCACCUAAAAUCAGUUACCCAUUAGAGUUGGGUUACUGAGGGGCACCCUAAAAAUUCAAAAUCCCAAUCUUCAUUGAGGCUGGAGGUUCAAACCCAGGACCCCAUUGUUUUCCUAUGAGGUACACAAAUCCUUUAGCCGACAAAAAAUCAAAAUAUUGAUAUAGAAAUGAAAUGAAAAAUGACUGAGCUUUUGGCCCAUGACUUUGAAAUGCUAAUAUCUAUGUAUACUUCUUUAUGUUGGCAGAGGAUCAACAUGAUUUGUUCAUUGAAAGACACUUGAAGGUGUAAGUUGUAAAAGGUUUUGAAAGACUUGCCAAAGCAAGGCAUUCUUGACAGGAAUAAACAUUGGGAGCAGCUCUAGCUGACUCAGCUCAGAGGAUGACAUCACAGUUAAUUGACAUCUUUCUGUUAACAAUGCAUGGAUUAUCUUAUCUUCUUCAUUCUAGGGGAAUUAUGCAUUGAGUGAAGACAUCUUGCUGUAGAAGAGAAGAACAAUUCAGAUAGUUCACAUGAUUUACAAUAUGGCUUUGAUUGUCUUAUGUUAAUGGCUGGUAAAGAACUGAAACAUGUAGGCUGGAGAUCACUUGAUAGAAAUCAAGAAAUCUCUGAUCUACAUUGUAUGAGAAAAUCAUGAAGUGGUUGUUGUCAUUGAUCCAGAAACUAAGUUGCAAUCUGUCUUGAUAAAUAUAUCAUACAGAUUUAAUGGUGGCCUACUCAACCCGAGGCGGCUUAAAGCAAAAACAAAAACAAAUGCAGCAGUAAUCAGAGACUUGCUAUUUGCUGACGACUGUGCCCUAAAUGCCUGCUCUGAAAACGAUCUGCAGAGCAUCGUCAGUGACUUCUCAAGAGCAUGCUCAGACUUUGGCCUUACCAUCAAUACGAACAAGACUGAAGUCUUAUAUUUACCUGCUCCUGGGAAAGCCUACAUGGAUCCAAGCAUUACUAUAAAUGGACAGGAUAUAAACGCAGUGGACAAAUUCACAUAUCUUGGCAGCACACUCUCCAGAAAUGGAAAAAUCGAUAGUGAAAUUGACCUGCGUAUCGCCAAGGCCAGUGCAUCCUACGGCAGAUUGUCUACAAAUGUCUGGAACAGACGUGGUAUCUCCACAAACACCAAGCUAGGGGAAUAUAGAGCCGUCAUCCUCCCUACAUUGCUAUAUGCCUCAGAAACAUGGACAGUGUACAGUAAACAUGCAAAGAAACUAAACCACUUCCACAUGACAUGUCUGAGAAAAAUACUAAAUGUCAAAUGGCAAGACAAAAUACCAGAGUGUGUCUGCAAAGCAUCCACACAAUCCUGAUGCAGUCCCAGCUGCGAUGGGCAGGUCACGUCUACAGAAUGGAAGACCACCGCAUCCCUAAACGACUCCUGUAUGGCCAACUAAGCGAAGGAAAGCGCUCGCAAGGUGGUCAAAGAAAGCGCUUCAGGGACACCCUCAAUGCUUCUCUGAAGGCGUUCAGCAUAGACCCAGGCACCUGGGAGACAGAGGCACAUGACAGAGCAUCAUGGUGUCGCGCUGUGAAAACUGGCGCACAGGUUGCUGGGGAAAAAAGAACAAUGCUGGCAGAAGAAAAACGCCAGAAAAGAAAAGCAAGGCCCACGACACUAGCUCCAGCUGGAAUAACCUGCCCAGUGUGCGGCCGAACAUUCCGGGCUCACAUAGGUCUUACCAGCCACAUGAGGAGGCAUAAAACCCCAGUGCAAAGCCCUCAGCCCCCUGGAUGACAAAGUGGUCAUCAUCGAACCACGAUGGACGAACUAUAAGUUGCAAUCUGUCUUGUGAACGAAUUGUGUGUCCCCUUACCUGUCAAUUCUGUUUAGUGAUGGUCAAGCUCAACUGAUAUUAUUCUAAGCAGCUUUUAUUCUGAGAAUCAUUCAACCACAGAAGCUGUGAGGGAUAUCUGAAAUCCAUUGCUUACUUGUCUAGCAGAAAGAUUUCUAUCCGUUUAGUGAUAAAAGAUUGAGAUUAAUUGUAUACAACUUUUUGUAGUCGCCAAAUAACACACUUUUAUGCUCAAGCAAUACUGUUCAUGAAUGGUUUAGUUUUCUUGAUGCUGAGAGUGUUCAUGAAAGAGGGAUCAAAGGUCAAUUUGGGUGUUUGUUUUUUAAGACAACUUGCUAUGUUUGUUAAUUUAAAUUUACCAGGUACCUAUUAUUCAUUUACUUUGGAUUUUAGAAUAUUUGUCAUUGAAAUUUAAAUAGGUAUAAGUACAGUUAAUUAACCACAGGAUUCCAUUAAGAAAUUUAAAAAGAAAACAUUUCAUUUUUGAGAUUACAUCAUCUUUAUGUGGAAUGUUUUUUGAAUAAAUGGUACCUGUACAGGUGAUUAGACCUAUUAAUAAAUGAUAACUGGAUAUAUUUGUAUUUGAAACCACUGGCUUGUAUUUUACUUAUUACUAAUAACUUAAUUUACUUUUUAAUAUAUGCGUUAUCUUCUAUUUUGAAGUAACAUCUGUAUUAUAUAAGAUAAGAUUAUCAACUGUAGUUUUCUUUUAAGAGUUCUUUAUGAAAAUGUUACCACUGAACACUGCUAUAUUACUAGACUUUUUUCAACUAUGUUUUGUAAAUGAAAUAUUGUGCAAUGGCAUAUUUAUUGUAUUACAUAAUUAAGGUUUUUAUAGCUAUAUAUUAAAAACAUCUCAUAUUUAAUGUACUCUCUGCACUGAACAAUUUUUUUUUAAGUGAUAAAAAUUUUGGUUUAUUCAUAUCAAGUUUGUUUUGUUUGUAUAUAUGUAGAAUAUGUAUAUCAUAGUGAAAGCAUUUAUUUACUUGCAUUUUAGUUUUUAUAAUCAUUUAUAGAAUUCAGUGUAAAUUCAUUGUACAUUGAACCUCGUUGGUAGUGACAAUGUUAUUAAGUUGACAUGAAGUAUUUA